GGUGCUGUGACUCAGUGGUAGAGUGCUUGCCUAGCAUGUGUGAGGCACCGGGUUCAAAUCUCAGCACCACUA
rnacentral:tRNA from 1 species